GAUGAACGCUGGCGGCGUGCCUAAUACAUGCCAGUCGAGCGAACGGACGAGAAGCUUGCUUCUCUGAUGUUAGCGGCGGACGGGUGAGUAACACGUGGAUAACCUACCUAUAAGACUGGGAUAACUUCGGGAAACCGGAGCUAAUACCGGAUGAUAUUUUGGACCGCAUGGUUCAAAAGUGAAAGACGGUCUUGCUGUCACUUAUAGAUGGAUCCGCGCUGCAUUAGCUAGUUGGUAAGGUAACGGCUUACCAAGGCAACGAUGCAUAGCCGACCUGAGAGGGUGAUCGGCCACACUGGAACUGAGACACGGUCCAGACUCCUACGGGAGGCAGCAGUAGGGAAUCUUCCGCAAUGGGCGAAAGCCUGACGGAGCAACGCCGCGUGAGUGAUGGAGGUCUUCGGAUCGUAAAACUCUGUUAUUAGGGAAGAACAUAUGUGUAAGUAACUGUGCACAUCUUGACGGUACCUAAUCAGAAAGCCACGGCUAACUACGUG
rnacentral:rRNA from 1 species